rnacentral:rRNA from 1 species
GAUGAACGCUAGCUACAGGCUUAACACAUGCAAGUCGCGGGGCAGCAUGGGGGUUGCUUGCAAUCCCCGAUGGCGACCGGCGCACGGGUGAGUAACGCGUAUCCAACCUGCCCUUCACCACGGGAUAACCCGGCGAAAGUCGGACUAAUACCGUAUGUUGUCCAUUGACGGCAUCCGAUUUGGACGAAAGGUUUGGCGGUGAAGGAUGGGGAUGCGUCCGAUUAGCUGGACGGCGGGGUGACGGCCCACCGUGGCGACGAUCGGUAGGGGUUCUGAGAGGAAGGUCCCCCACACUGGAACUGAGACACGGCCCAGACUCCUACGGGAGGCAGCAGUGAGGAAUAUUGGUCAAUGGGCGUAAGCCUGAACCAGCCAAGUAGCGUGCAGGAUGACGGCCCUAUGGGUGGUAAACUGCUUUUAUGCGGGGAUAAAGUGGCCCACGUGUGGGUUUUUGCAGGUACCGCAUGAAUAAGGACCGGCUAAUUCCGUG